AGGCCGGCCAUUGGUAAUGUUCUAAGUAUAGCCGAUCCCAUCACCUUUAUAAAGUACACCACUCAUAAUCUAGAGCAUAUAUGUAUACCGAAAAAUGCUUAACCUACUAACAAUAUAUGUCGCUAGUUCCAGCCAUAUUUUUGUUAUCCUACCUGUUGUGUAUUGUUUAUAAAAAAAUGUGAAAGUUUUGCUUUUUUCUCAAUAAAUAUAAGAGCGUUUAUAUCUAAAUUACUUAAGUAUUUAAAUGAAUUUCAUGAUAAAAUUCCGUUUAGCACUACAGUAGAAGUAAUGGAAGGAUAUAACGUUAAAAAAAUGUGAAUUAAUAAAGUACUUUUUGCGUGGUGUACUUUGAAAAUAAAUUUCUGAAAUUAAUAGAAAUUGGCAUGUGAAACGUAAAUAUUCGACAUAUAAUACGAAUACAGUAUAGGAAUCUGAGAUCGGAAUAGCA
rnacentral:lncRNA from 1 species